rnacentral:rRNA from 1 species
GACGAACGCUGGCGGCGUGCCUAAUACAUGCAAGUCGAACGCACAGUUUAUACCGUAGCUUGCUACACCAUAGACUGUGAGUUGCGAACGGGUGAGUAACGCGUAGGUAACCUGCCUGGUAGCGGGGGAUAACUAUUGGAAACGAUAGCUAAUACCGCAUAAUAUUGAUUAUUGCAUGAUAAUUAAUUGAAAGGUGCAAUUGCACCACUACCAGAUGGACAUGCGUUGGAUUAGCUAGUAGGUGAGGUAACGGCUCACCUAGGCGACGAUACAUAGCCGACCUGAGAGGGUGAUCGGCCACACUGGGACUGAGACACGGCCCAGACUCCUACGGGAGGCAGCAGUAGGGAAUCUUCGGCAAUGGACGAAAGUCUGACCGAGCAACGCCGCGUGAGUGAAGAAGGUUUUCGGAUCGUAAAGCUCUGUUGUAAGAGAAGAACGGGUGUGAGGGUGGAAAGUUCACACUGUGACGGUAUCUUACCAGAAAGGGACGGCUAACUACGUG